GGGAUGAUCCCACCAGAGCUGUGUUUGGUGCACGAGGAGCACGGGGGUUUAAUCUCUGCAUUCACCACUUGGCUCAGGAAUUUUUUCUGCCUGAUCACCCUGGUGAGUGUUUCUGCU